rfam:Lupinus angustifolius cultivar Tanjil chromosome LG10, whole genome shotgun sequence.
UGUUGAAUGAUGAUAAAAUCAUUCGGAUUCCCAAUGAUAUUAUAUAUGAUCUUACAAUUAAGUCUGACAACA